UUAAGCGACUAAGCGUACACGGUGGAUGCCCUGGCAGUCAGAGGCGAUGAAGGACGUGCUAAUCUGCGAUAAGCGCCGGUAAGGUGAUAUGAACCGUUAUAACCGGCGAUUUCCGAAUGGGGAAACCCAGUGUGACUCGUCACACUAUCAUUAACUGAAUCCAUAGGUUAAUGAGGCGAACCGGGGGAACUGAAACAUCUAAGUACCCCGAGGAAAAGAAAUCAACCGAGAUUCCCCCAGUAGCGGCGAGCGAACGGGGAGGAGCCCAGAGCCUGAAUCAGCAUGUGUGUUAGUGGAAGCGUCUGGAAAGGCGCGCGAUACAGGGUGACAGCCCCGUACACAAAAGCGCAUGUGCUGUGAGCUCGAUGAGUAGGGCGGGACACGUGGUAUCCUGUCUGAAUAUGGGGGGACCAUCCUCCAAGGCUAAAUACUCCUGACUGACCGAUAGUGAACCAGUACCGUGAGGGAAAGGCGAAAAGAACCCCGGCGAGGGGAGUGAAAAAGAACCUGAAACCGUGUACGUACAAGCAGUGGGAGCACAGGUUUACCUGUGUGACUGCGUACCUUUUGUAUAAUGGGUCAGCGACUUAUAUUCUGUAGCAAGGUUAACCGUAUAGGGGAGCCGGAGGGAAACCGAGUCUUAAUUGGGCGUUAAGUUGCAGGGUAUAGACCCGAAACCCGGUGAUCUAGCCAUGGGCAGGUUGAAGGUUGGGUAACACUAACUGGAGGACCGAACCGACUAAUGUUGAAAAAUUAGCGGAUGACCUGUGGCUGGGGGUGAAAGGCCAAUCAAACCGGGAGAUAGCUGGUUCUCCCCGAAAGCUAUUUAGGUAGCGCCUCGUGAAUUCAUCUCCGGGGGUAGAGCACUGUUUCGGCUAGGGGGCCAUCCCGGCUUACCAACCCGAUGCAAACUGCGAAUACCGGAGAAUGUUAUCACGGGAGACACACGGCGGGUGCUAACGUCCGUCGUGAAGAGGGAAACAACCCAGACCGCCAGCUAAGGUCCCAAAGUCAUGGUUAAGUGGGAAACGAUGUGGGAAGGCCCAGACAGCCAGGAUGUUGGCUUAGAAGCAGCCAUCAUUUAAAGAAAGCGUAAUAGCUCACUGGUCGAGUCGGCCUGCGCGGAAGAUGUAACGGGGCUAAACCAUGCACCGAAGCUGCGGCAGCGAACGUAUCACCCAAGACAACUUUACGGAGUUGACGAUUGACGGAGCGAAGCGACGUCAAAGCGUUCAUUAAAGUCGAGUUGGCUUAGGGAUACGUUCGUUGGGUAGGGGAGCGUUCUGUAAGCCUGUGAAGGUGUGUCGUGAGGCAUGCUGGAGGUAUCAGAAGUGCGAAUGCUGACAUAAGUAACGAUAAAGCGGGUGAAAAGCCCGCUCGCCGGAAGACCAAGGGUUCCUGUCCAACGUUAAUCGGGGCAGGGUGAGUCGACCCCUAAGGCGAGGCCGAAAGGCGUAGUCGAUGGGAAACGGGUUAAUAUUCCCGUACUUGGUGUUACUGCGAAGGGGGGACGGAGAAGGCUAUGUUGGCCGGGCGACGGUUGUCCCGGUUUAAGCGUGUAGGUGUGUGUUCCAGGUAAAUCCGGUUCACUUUAACACUGAGGCGUGACGACGAGGCACUACGGUGCUGAAGCAACAAAUGCCCUGCUUCCAGGAAAAGCCUCUAAGCAUCAGGUAACACGAAAUCGUACCCCAAACCGACACAGGUGGUCAGGUAGAGAAUACCAAGGCGCUUGAGAGAACUCGGGUGAAGGAACUAGGCAAAAUGGUGCCGUAACUUCGGGAGAAGGCACGCUGACACGUAGGUGAAGUGAUUUACUCAUGGAGCUGAAGUCAGUCGAAGAUACCAGCUGGCUGCAACUGUUUAUUAAAAACACAGCACUGUGCAAACACGAAAGUGGACGUAUACGGUGUGACGCCUGCCCGGUGCCGGAAGGUUAAUUGAUGGGGUCAGCGCAAGCGAAGCUCCUGAUCGAAGCCCCGGUAAACGGCGGCCGUAACUAUAACGGUCCUAAGGUAGCGAAAUUCCUUGUCGGGUAAGUUCCGACCUGCACGAAUGGCGUAAUGAUGGCCAGGCUGUCUCCACCCGAGACUCAGUGAAAUUGAACUCGCUGUGAAGAUGCAGUGUACCCGCGGCAAGACGGAAAGACCCCGUGAACCUUUACUAUAGCUUGACACUGAACAUUGAGCCUUGAUGUGUAGGAUAGGUGGGAGGCUUUGAAGCGUGGACGCCAGUCUGCGUGGAGCCGACCUUGAAAUACCACCCUUUAAUGUUUGAUGUUCUAACGUGGACCCGUUACCCGGGUUGCGGACAGUGUCUGGUGGGUAGUUUGACUGGGGCGGUCUCCUCCUAAAGAGUAACGGAGGAGCACGAAGGUUGGCUAAUCCUGGUCGGACAUCAGGAGGUUAGUGCAAUGGCAUAAGCCAGCUUGACUGCGAGCGUGACGGCGCGAGCAGGUGCGAAAGCAGGUCAUAGUGAUCCGGUGGUUCUGAAUGGAAGGGCCAUCGCUCAACGGAUAAAAGGUACUCCGGGGAUAACAGGCUGAUACCGCCCAAGAGUUCAUAUCGACGGCGGUGUUUGGCACCUCGAUGUCGGCUCAUCACAUCCUGGGGCUGAAGUAGGUCCCAAGGGUAUGGCUGUUCGCCAUUUAAAGUGGUACGCGAGCUGGGUUUAGAACGUCGUGAGACAGUUCGGUCCCUAUCUGCCGUGGGCGCUGGAGAACUGAGGGGGGCUGCUCCUAGUACGAGAGGACCGGAGUGGACGCAUCACUGGUGUUCGGGUUGUCAUGCCAAUGGCACUGCCCGGUAGCUAAAUGCGGAAGAGAUAAGUGCUGAAAGCAUCUAAGCACGAAACUUGCCCCGAGAUGAGUUCUCCCUGAGACUUAGAGUCUCCUGAAGGAACGUUGAAGACGACGACGUUGAUAGGCCGGGUGUGUAAGCGCAGCGAUGCGUUGAGCUAACCGGUACUAAUGAACCGUGAGGCUUAACCUU
rnacentral:rRNA from 1 species